rnacentral:rRNA from 1 species
AUUGAACGCUGGCGGCAGGCCUAACACAUGCAAGUCGAGCGAGCGGCGGACGGGAGAGUAAUGUAUGGGGACUGCCCGAUAGAGGGGGAUAACUACUGGAAACGGUGGCUAAUACCGCAUACUAUCGGAUAACCCAUAUGGGAUUAGCUAGUAGGUGGGGUAAAGGCUCACCUAGGCGACGAUCCCUAGCUGGUCUGAGAGGAUGAUCAGCCACACUGGGACUGAGACACGGCCCAGACUCCUACGGAGGCAGCAGUGGGGAAUAUUGCACAAUGGGCGCAAGCCUGAUGCAGCCAUGCCGCGUGAAUGAAGAAGGCCUUCGGGUUGUAAAGUACUUUCGGUAGCGAGGCGUUAACUGCAGAAGAAGCACCGGCUAACUCCGUGCCAGCCGCCGCGGUAAUUC